rnacentral:rRNA from 2 species
CGGCAACAGCUCAAAUUUGAAAUCUGGCGCAAGCCCGAGUUGUAAUUUGUAGAGGAUGUUUCUGGCGACGUGCCUUCCGAGUUCCCUGGAACGGGACGCCAUAGAGGGUGAGAAUCCCGUA